GGCUCUUACAUGUUUUUUAUACUUGAUUGAUUCAUUUUGCACCCUCUGGACACCUUCGUGGCUAAAAUGUACAAGUCCAAAAAACUGAUAUUAAAUCAUCGUAUAUCAAUAUAAUUUUCUAUUUUUUUUCAUUAAAUCACUUAAGCAACUUCUAACUUGCUCAAAACUACCAAACAUUCAAUAAUUUUCAGGAUUUUAACCCUUUAAAUGCCACUUUAAUUCUAAUUUUUCAUGAAAAACCCAACAGAACAUUAAUUAUUUUCCAUAAAAUAAAUUGUAGUUGAAUGGGGCUUUGGUGGUGAUUAGAGUCUUGGAUAUGUCAAAGAUUAUGAACAAAACUCAUUUGAUUGCAUUAGUAUUUUUUAUGUAGUGCCAGAUACUCCCUCUGGACACCUUUCAGGCAAAAAUGUACGUA